GACGAACGCUGGCGGCGUGCUUAACACAUGCAAGUCGAACGGAAAGACCCUGCUUUUGUGGGGUGCUCGAGUGGCGAACGGGUGAGUAACACGUGAGUAACCUGCCCUUGACUUUGGGAUAACUUCAGGAAACUGGGGCUAAUACCGGAUAGGAGCUCCUGCUGCAUGGUGGGGGUUGGAAAGUUUCGGCGGUUGGGGAUGGACUCGCGGCUUAUCAGCUUGUUGGUGAGGUAGUGGCUUACCAAGGCUUUGACGGGUAGCCGGCCUGAGAGGGUGACCGGCCACAUUGGGACUGAGAUACGGCCCAGACUCCUACGGGAGGCAGCAGUGGGGAAUAUUGCACGAUGGGCGGAAGCCUGAUGCAGCAACGCCGCGUGCGGGAUGACGGCCUUCGGGUUGUAAACCGCUUUCGCCUGUGACGAAGCGUGAGUGACGGUAAUGGGUAAAGAAGCACCGGCUAACUACGUG
rnacentral:rRNA from 1 species